UGUUGAGUAUGUUCAGUGGUUAGCACGUUCGCCUCACACCUCCAGGGUCCGGGGUUCGAUUCCCGCCGGGGCCA